GAGCGAGCGCCGGUCCUGCGCGCGUGCGGCGUGGCGCUCCGGCGCCGCUCGCUGCUCCGGUGCCGCGCAGAGCCGAGCGGCGCCCGCGGGGUGUGCGCGCUGCAGGGCGGACCACUGCUGCCCGGGCCCGCGGGGGUGGCGGCUGGGGACGACGGUCGCCCUCUGCCGCGGCGGGUGCGGGUGCCUGGACUCUGGGGAAGCCGCGGCCACUGCCCCGGGCCGGCAGUGCACGAGCCCGGCCGCCGGCUGCCCACCCUGUCCCCUGCACACGUACCGAGCGGUCGCUGCGACCCGACGCCCGGCGCAUCUUCCGCGGGUGGCGGGUGUGGGCGGCGGGCCCGCGGGGUGGUGCGGCCGGGGAAGGGAGGCUGCACCUUCUGUCCGGGUCCCCCGGGUUGCUUGCGGGCGGCGCCGCGGCCCAGGCGGUGAUGCGGGACGACUGAGGGCGAUCAUCUGGGAGGACGCCGUCCCCUGCCCCACCGGCGCGGUGGUAUCUCCCUUAAAGAAGCCGGAACCUCAUUGUUCCCGGCGGUAAGGAUGGAGUUGCUCUGUCGGGCGGGCGCGGGGCAGAGGGCGCGGCCUACCUGGCUGCAGCGCCCCGCCUAGCAGGCCCGAACUCAGGUAGGAGGGUGCCGGCACGCAAGGCAGGUCGCCAAGGACCAGAACUGCACUCGUCCGGAUGGUGGGCGCUUCGGGGGCGAAGCCUUUCGGAUCUCCCCAGCAGCUGACAGUCAUGUCCCGGCAGCAGUCCUCCUGAACUCUACCAUCAGGCUCACAGUCACUCAGAGGCGAGGACCAGUGGGCCGGCCCGUUAGUUACACAGAUUCAGUCAGCAUCUUCCAAAAACACCCAUUCUUUUCUUUAUUAUGCUGCACCUACUGUUUGCUAAUAAGCUGCGGACACCAAACCCUGGGAGGAGCGUCAGCAAUUGCCUGACGCUCCUCCCAGAACACUCCGUUCUCAUGGUCUCAUCACAGCCGUGGCUUUGGGCUUCAGGGGACAGUUCAUCUCUGCUGCUUUUGGCAUCCACCAGGGCUGAGGCUGGGAACCAGCAGAGGAGACUUGCUUUCAUAUGACAGGCAGUCCAUGCCUGGACUCGGCUGGCACUGGCAGCUGGGACAUCUGAGGGGGACCCUCCACACGCUCACCUUGUAGUUCUUGGGUUUCGGAUUCCGAGAUGCCGUCUGCCUUUUCUUCCCCAGCCCUCAGUCUUCUGUACAGCUGUUCUAUUUUGGUUUUGAGACAGGGUUUCAUGUAGCCCAGAUCUCUCUCUUAUGAAAAACCAUGGACCCCAGUUUGUGUUGGCGUACUACUUCUGGUCACCGGGCCUUCCCUGGAGCGUGGUCAAUAUACCAGGUGUAUCUGCUGAAGAAAACUGACUUCCCUCUCUCAGAACCAGCAGCUCUCAAAGGCCAAUCAUUCCUCAUAGCUCCUCACUCAUGGUGGGACUUCAUGGCCACCUCUUCCCCCACACUGGGAUUCUGUCUGGCUUGAGCUUGUGGAGGUCCUGGGCCUGUUCUCACAGUCUGUGCCUUCAUCUGUGCCUUGGUCAGCUACAUCUGGGAACAGUUUCCUUAUCCUCACUCACUACCUCUGACUCUCUUACAUUGACAGAUCCCUGAGCCCCGACGGAAGGGCUGUGGUAUAGAUAUCCCAUUUAGAGUCACUACUGUAGUGACCAUUGUGGGUUUCUAUAUUGAUUAUCAUCUACUGCAAGAAGCUUUUCUGAUGAGAGUCAAGCAAUGUACUGCUCUAUGGGUCCAGUGGUCAGUCGCUAUGAAUUAUUUUAUCGCUAUGGUAUCUCAGCAGGAUAAUAAUAGUGGGUUUUCUCCCAGGGCC
rnacentral:lncRNA from 1 species